UGAAGCAGCCAGACACCAUCCAAUUAGUC
rnacentral:piRNA from 1 species